UGGGGAAUUUUGGACAAUGGGCGAAAGCCUGAUCCAGCAAUGCCGCGUGUGUGAAGAAGGCCUUCGGGUUGUAAAGCACUUUGUCCGGAAAGAAAUCCUUGGCUCUAAUACAGUCGGGGGAUGACGGUACCGGAAGAAUAAGCACCGGCUAACUACGUGCCAGCAGCCGCGGUAAUACGUAGGGUGCAAGCGUUAAUCGGAAUUACUGGGCGUAAAGCGUGCGCAGGCGGUUUGCUAAGACCGAUGUGAAAUCCCCGGGCUCAACCUGGGAACUGCAUUGGUGACUGGCAGGCUAGAGUAUGGCAGAGGGGGGUAGAAUUCCACGUGUAGCAGUGAAAUGCGUAGAGAUGUGGAGGAAUACCGAUGGCGAAGGCAGCCCCCUGGGCCAAAUACUGACGCUCAUGCGCGAAAGCGUGGGGAGCAAAACAGGAUUAGAUACCCUGGUAGUCCACGCCCUAAACGAUGUCAACUAGUUGUGGGGAUCAUUCCUUAGUAACGUAGCUAACGCGUGAAGUUGACC
rnacentral:rRNA from 1 species